rnacentral:rRNA from 1 species
GGGCCCGCACAAGCGGUGGAGCAUGUGGUUUAAUUCGACGCAACGCGAAGAACCUUACCAGGGUUUGACAUCCCCUGACAGCUGUGGAAAGACAGUUUUCUGACUUUGGUUAGACAGGGAGACAGGUGGUGCAUGGUUGUCGUCAGCUCGUGUCGUGAGAUGUUGGGUUAAGUCCCGCAACGAGCGCAACCCCUACGUUUAGUUGCUAACGCGUGAAGGCGAGCACUCUAGAGGAACUGCCGUUGACAAAACGGAGGAAGGUGGGGAUGACGUCAAAUCAUCAUGCCCCUUAUGUCCUGGGCUACACACGUGCUACAAUGGCCGGUACAAAGGGCAGCGAAGCUGUGAAGCGGAGCAAAUCCCAAAAAGCCGGUCUCAGUUCGGAUUGCAGGCUGAAAUUCGCCUGCAUGAAGUCGGAAUCGCUAGUAAUCGCAGGUCAGCAUACUGCGGUGAAUACGUUCCCGGGCCUU